AUGAAGGCAGAAAAGAAAGGAGGAAAUAUAGAGGGGGCUCGAAGACUGCACCGUGAAUUUAUAGAGAAAGAACUCGAAGAACGGCAAGAGACGGUUAGGGUUUCAAUAUCUGAAACCCUAACAGCCGCUGACCACCUCGCCGUCCACCACGCCUUCAACCGCUCAUCACCAUCACCUUCAAAGCUUUAUUGUAACUUGCAAAAAUGA